rnacentral:tRNA from 1 species
GCCUGGGUGGCUCAGUCGGUUAAGCGUCUGACUUAAGCUCAGGUUAUGAUCUCGUGGUCUGUGGGUUCGAGCCCCACGUCGGGCU